CUGUGACGACGGCGUCGGUCUCAGAGCACGGCCGAAGCGUGCGGCCCGAGGACCCGGUCAUUCUUAGGAGGCGACUAGGAGACAGCAGCCCGGUGACAGCAGGAACCUCCCAGACAGCCUGGUGGCCUUGCUUUGCACCUGAUGUGGAUUCUCAUUCCUGGAGAGCCAAGAGAUAAGUUGAGGGCUGUGACUUACAGAGGGGAUGGAAGGGGGCUGCUGUGUCAGGACUCAUUAGGUGGUAUUUUUGAGUCAGCUUUGGAGCUGAGGAUAUCCAGGAAAUGUUGUCUUGAGCCCACACAAAAGCAAAGUGUCGCUUUUGAUCCCAGUGCUGAGGUGCGCAGGGCAGAGCAGUCCCGGCGUGUGUUGUGUCAUGUGGCUAUUGUGCAUUAUGUGUUGUUUAAUGUCUUUUCCCUUAGCCCUUUGAGGGGCCUAACAGAAACCCUGGCAUCAUUCUUAGCAUCUGCGAUCUCUGCAUUUCUUGGCCUGGCACCAAUGCCACAGGACUUUUGACUCAGGAGCUCAGACAGGCAUCAGAAUUGCACCUCUCUUUAGGAGCAUCCAGUCAGAUGUCUUUGCAGGUCUUGUUCUGAGCUGUAUGUACCUUGCAAGGAUCCAUUAUGGCAGAUUAGGGCUUGUAAGAAUGCAAGGAUAGGUGGAGGAUGCUGACCGUAGGAUUCUCAGACAUCCAUCUUUGUAGUUCUUGGAAUAAACCAUUGUCUUAGCAGGAUAUUCCUCCAGGGUUCUGGGAGCCUCAUCAGCUCGCCAUCAGUCUCAUCUCGGUCAUCUAAUCUUGCAUUCUCUCAGUCCUUGCAGUCAUUCUUCUUGCCAAGAGAUUCCUGUCCCUGUUGUGUCCCCCUUGUUUGUCAUGUCGUGUCCUGUGUCACGGGUGUCUGCACGUAUUUGUGCCGGAGCUGCUCUGCCCUGCUGCAUAGCCUGGUGUAAUAGGACAAAUCCUGGGGGGCUUGAAAUUUGUUGUGUGCUGUAGUUGGACUCUAGAUGAUAUUCCUAGGCUGACCCAGAUGUCUGGAGCUGUGAAGUGGUCCUGCAGCCCUUUGACAUUUUUCCUAACUUUCUUUCAGAUGCAGAUGGAUAAAAUCCAUGGCAGAGCACCCCAUCCCAGGAAGUAAAGUGAUAGAGCAACAGUCAAGUUGAAGUGGUCAAGGCAAUCUACUCAGGUUAUGCCAAGCCCCUGUCAUCAACCAGCCGAUUGACCAGGUUUGCUGGUCUCAUGAGCCCUGUGGAGGUAUUGCAGGACCCUGUGAUGAAGCCUUGAAAUUUUCUAUUUA